ensembl:lncRNA novel transcript
ACAGUAUAGGUUUGAAAAAGGAAAGUUUUAUUAGAAAGAAAGAACGUGCCUUUCCAGCCCCCCACCCGGACCCUACAGCCACCGAGAUGUUGAUGCCUAAGAAGAACUGGAUUGCCAUUUAUGAACUCCUUUUUAAGGAGGGAGUCAUGGUGGCCAAGAAGGAUGUCCACAUGCCUAAGCACCCGGAGCUGGCAGACAAGAAUGCGCCCAACCUUCGUGUCAUGAAGGCCAUGCAGUCUCUCAAGUCCCGAGGCUACGUGAAGGAAGUUUGCCUGGAGACAUUUCUACUGGUACCUUACCAAUGAGGGUAUCCAGUAUCUCUGUGAUUACCUUCAUCUGCCCUCGGAGAUUGUGCCUGCCACCUUACACCGCAGCUGUCCAGAGACUGGCAGGCCUUGGCCUAAAGUCUGGAGGGUGAGCGACCUGCAAGACUCACAAGAGGGGAAGCCAACAGAGAUACCUACAAACGGAGUGCUGUGCCCCCUGGUGCCAACAAGAAAGCCGAGGCUGGGGCCGGGUCAGCAACCAAAUUCCAGUUCAGAGAUGGAUUUGGUUGUGGACGUGGUCAGCCACCUCAGUAAAAUUGGAGAGGAUUAUUAUGCGAUGAAUAAACUUACAGUCAAAAAAAAAAAAGAAAGAAAGCUGCAGAAGAGUGCAGUGAGGUGCCUCAGCAUGAGAAAAGAAGCCAUGGAAAUAAAUAAGGAGCUGUUGAAGUUGCCAGCUCCCUGGAGUAACUGUGUAAACCUCCGGUCUUCUAUUCUCAUGGCCAAUAGUGCUUCCACUGGUCAAAACUCAAGCCUCAAGAUAAAGCAUGUAAAUAGCUUAAGAAGAGCAGUGCUGGUGCCUGGGGGAGAGGAGCCAGUCAGGACCUUCAGCUUCCCAGGGAAACUUGGAUUGAGUAGAAUGUAGCAAUCUCACUUUGCAGCGUGUCCUUCAGCAAGUCACUUACUCUCUCUGUACUCCAACUUCGUCCUCUGAAAAAUUAAAGAAUCCAACUGGAUCAUCUCCAAGAUCCUUUCCAAUUGAGAAAUUCCAUCACCUGUGAUGAUUUUUCUGUACAAUGCAAUUUGGGAAGGACACUAGCAUUUAUGGAACCACUGAUAUGUGCCAGAUCUUUCACAUGUGUUGUUAUUUCCACUUUAAGUGUAAGAACAAUAUCAAGUUCAGAGAUGUGAAAGAAGUGGUCCAAGGUCAAUCAUCCAGUACCUGGAGGACUCUAGAUUCAAACCCACAUUUAUGAGACUGUAAAACCAUUGCUCUUUUUCAUGAUACCAUGUUUUUAGGGACUGCCCAUCUAAUGGUUCCUUACAAGACAGAGCUGCAUAUAGAGGGGGAAAUGUAACCUACUCUAUAUGCAGCUAUAAAAACAA